GUUGUUUUCCUCUCUGCUUGUCCAGAUAGUAAUAACUCUAUCUCGUUUUCUAAUCCGCGUUCGUGUCUUCUUCAAUUUUGCCAGGGAAAGUUGGAGAAGUUGGCCAAGGCUGAAUCCGAACUCAGCAAUCAUGUAUUUUUUUGUGUUAUGUCGAUGGUAUCAACAAUGGUUUCGGUGAGACCAACACCUAAGUGGUUGAUGCUGUGGCGAUGACGAUGCCAACCUAAUCUAGAUGGUGUUGGUGUUACGUCGGUGGUAUCAACAAUGCUAUCAUCAACAGGAGGUAGCUGAAACCUGCAGAGCCUGAUGCAUCCAUCACUUGGAAGGAAACAAGGAAAUAUAUAUGGAGGAGGGUAAUAGACUCGGAAGCAUGUCAGAACUUUCAUCAUGUGAUGACGUGAUGGCGCUCCACCGGACUCACUUGCCGACUGGCCUAUGUUGCCGCUUUGGAGUCUAGUGCAACCUGAGAAGCUGUGUUGGCUCUGGCGUUGCAUGCUGGCCAUAGGCGGCCUUAUGUGUGAUUUAAGUUGCUUAUAAUGCUGAGUGGUGGUUGACGUUUGUUUCAUCCAUUUUUUUGUGGUGGGAGUGUCUUUGGUUAGACCAGCGAUUCUGUUUGAACUGUCACAUGAGCUGCUGUGAUGUGUGCAUUAUAUUGUAACAUCCAUUUGAUAUGUGACUGAAUGGCCAAAUA